rnacentral:rRNA from 1 species
UACGUAGGUGGCAAGCGUUACUCGGAAUCACUAGGCGUAAAGCGCAGGUAGGCGGUUUGAUAAGUCUGUUGUGAAAGCUCCCGGCUUAACUGGGAGAGGUCAACGGAAACUAUCAGGCUAGAGUGUGGUAGAGGAAGAUGGAAUUCCCGGUGUAGCGGUGAAAUGCGUAGAUAUCGGGAGGAAUACCUAUGGCGAAAGCAGUCUUCUGGACCAUCACUGACGCUGAUCUGCGAAAGCUAGGGGAGCAAACAGG